GCCUGAGUGGCUCAGUUGGUAGAGCGUCCGACUUCGACUUAGGUCAUGAUCUCAAAUUCGUGGGUUUGAGCCCUGCAUCAGGCU
rnacentral:tRNA from 1 species